rnacentral:snoRNA from 1 species
ACGACCUUACUUGAACAUGAUCUGUUCUAUAGGCUCGUACCGCUGCAUCCUUUACCAAUAAGGAGGCAAGCACUUCAGUUUGGUUGAUGCAUUCUGAUCUCUAGACCAGAGCCUGAUUAACGGUCAGGAUUCACCUGAUGGGUGUUAUCCGAUGGCUGUAGAUUGGCUUCUGUCUCUACAGGGUGGCCUAGAGGUUGUCUGACAGAUA